rnacentral:rRNA from 1 species
GACGAACGCUGGCGGCGUGCUUAACACAUGCAAGUCGAACGGAAAGGCCCCUUUUGGGUUACUCGCUUGGCUGACGGGUGGGUAACACGUGCGUAACCUACCCUUGCCUUCGUGUUGACUUCAUUAAACUGGGGCUAAUACCGGCUAGGUAUCCUCUCUGCCUGGUUGGGGGUGGUAAGCUUCGGGGGUCUUGGAUGGACUCGCGGGUUAUCUGCUUGUUGGUGGGGUAGUGGCUUACCAAGGCUUUGACGGGUAGGCGGCCCGGGAGGGGGGACGGCCACAUUGGGACUGAGAUACGGCCCAGACUCCUAAGGGAGGCAGGAGUGGGGAAAAAUGCACAAUGGGGGGAAGGCUGAUGGAGCAAAGCCGGGUGGGGGAUGAAGGCCUUCGGGGUGGAAAACGGUUUCAGCAGGGGAGGAGCUUGUGGUGACGGUACCUGCAGAAGAAGCACCGGCUAACUACGUG